GACGAACGCUGGCGGCGUGCUUAACACAUGCAAGUCGAACGGUGAAAGCGGAGCUUGCUCCGCUGGAUCAGUGGCGAACGGGUGAGUAACACGUGGGCAACCUGCCCCUCACUUCGGGAUAACUCCGGGAAACCGGGGCUAAUACCGGAUAUGACCUCCUUGGGCAUCCUUGGAGGUGGAAAGUUUUUCGGUGAGGGAUGGCCCGCAGCCUAUCAGCUUGUUGGUGAGGUAGUGGCUCACCAAGGCGACGACGGGUAGCCGGCCUGAGAGGGCGACCGGCCACACUGGGACUGAGACACGGCCCAGACUCCUACGGGAGGCAGCAGUGGGGAAUAUUGCGCAAUGGGCGAAAGCCUGACGCAGCAACGCCGCGUGCGGGAUGAUGGCCUUCGGGUUGUAAACCGCUUUCAGCAGGGAAGAAGCUGCACGGUGACGGUACCUGCAGAAGAAGCACCGGCUAACUACGUGCCAGCCGCCGCCGUAA
rnacentral:rRNA from 1 species